UUUCCGUAGGUGAACCUGCGGAAGGAUCAUUAAUGAGUUGUCAUGGGGUUCGAUGCUGGCAUCCAAUUUUUGGAUGCAUGUGCUUGCCCUAACAAUCAUCUUCCAAACACCUGUGCACAUUUUUGAGGGAGUCUGAGUUGGUUGCCGCUCUUGGGUGAUUUUCUCACAUUCCCUUAAAUCAUUAUACGCUAUUAACAAUGUUGAACGUGCUCUGUGCCGCAAGGCUAUUAAUAUAAUACAACUUUUAACAACGGAUCUCUUGGCUCUC
rnacentral:misc_RNA from 1 species